CGGUUUGGAACUGAGAUUUUGGUAGCCGGGAUUUUGAUUGUUGAUUUCGGGUCGAGGCAGAAAGGACGCUGUGAUGCCUUUGAGUUAUGGAAUUUGCAUUUUGAGGAUACGGGCGCAGAAGUUAUGAAGAGUUUAUCUAGUUGUUGUUGAGAUGCUCCGUAUUGCUUUAGAUUAUUAUU